rnacentral:rRNA from 1 species
AUUGAACGCUGGCGGCAGUCCUAACACAUGCAAGUCGAACGGCAACAGGAAGCCUCUUUCUGCUUCCCUGCCGAGUGGCGGACGGGUGAGUAAUGUCUGGGAAGCUGCCUGAUGUAGGGGGAUAACUACUGGAAACGGUCGCUAAUACCGCAUAAUGUCGCAAGACCAAAGUGGUGGACCUUCGGGCCUCUUGCCAUCGGGUGUGCCCAGAUGGGAUUAGCUUGUUGGUGGGGUAACGGCUCACCAAGGCCACGAUCCCUCGCGGGUCUGAGAGGGUGACCAGCCACACUGGAAGUGAGACACGGUCCAGACUACGAAGGGAGGCAGCAGUAGGGAAUGUUGCGCGAUGGGCGCAAGCCUGAUGAAGCCACGCCGCGUGGAUGAAGAAGGGCUUCGGGUUGUAAAGUUCUUUCAGUGGGGAAGAAGGGAGUUAAGUUUAUAUCUUCACGCAUUGACGUUACCCGCAGAAGAAGCACCGGCUAACUCCGUG